CAGGUCCUGGACGGCGUCCAGGUUCCUCGGGCCUCCGUCCGAGUCCAGCUGGGCGGCCAAGAGGAACAGCUUCCUGUCCGGGCUCAGCGAGCCCAGAGACAAGGCCUCGCGGAGCUCGGACACGCCCGCGGCACCGGGCUGGUCCUGACGAAGAGCAGGGCAACACCUUCAGCUCUUGACCUUCAACCGUCCCAACACACGACCCGCUGAACGGCCCCAUUUUGAGACAUAUCUUUUGGGGCUAAAUCAUGGAUGACCGCGGGCAGAUGAGGCUCCGCCCUCAGGAGGCGGUGCAGCUCCGCCUUGGCCAAUGGGAGGCGGCCCCUGUCAGCGGAGUCCAGCACGUACACCAGGACGUGAGUCCUCCGCAGGAAUCUGUGAGAUUCAGCUGAAGUUCCUGUUGUUACCAUCGUCAGACAUGAGGGAGAAUUAAUUCAAUUACUUGUAUUGCAUGUUUUUAAUUUGAAUCGAUGCUGCGUGUUGAAAUGAUACGAAGUCCUGACGCGAACACUCCGAACACGGGAGCUCCUCGUCAUCGACUGGUGACACGGACGGAACGAUGGACCGACGUGGACCGUCAGUCGUAGUGUGAAUGGAAACACGGAAAAUAUGUCCAAGUGUUUCGACAGUGUGAGGAAGAUGAUUCUUUUUCGUACUUUUGUAGUCGGACGUAUGUUCUCGUGUUGUCCGUACGUCCCCUCUUGAAAACAUGAUAUCUUGGGAACGACGCGAGGGAACAUCUGCGAACUUGGUUCAAACUUCAUGACAAAGUUUAACACAAAUGUCUAAUCAGAUAAAAUGAGUAAGUGAUGAUUCACUGAUCAUAUUUCCUGCAACGUGACUGGAUGGUGAAAACAACCGCUCAGUUCAACGAGGUUGUAUUGACCGAGGAGUUGGUGCAUUCAAGGACCAACAGAACUGAUAUAAUGUUCUUUCAUUCAUCCGUACAAAGAUUCUGUUGUGGCGAGGUCGGCGACAGAGAGACGUCCUCGCAGCCUCGACUGAUGUUUCCAUCCUCCGAUGAAUGGAAAGAGCCUUUGAAACAAUCGGACCACAGAUUCAUUUCUGAUGUUCACCAGACGGAAUGAAAUCACUAAUCGAGUUUUCACUGAGGGAUGAAAUAGGCGGCGGCGGCUCUUAUUGAUAACCACGCUGCUUCUCUGCCGCGGGGGAAAUUGCUCUGAUUCGUUUUUUCUUGUCUUGUUGCCUCCAGACACGAAAUGUCAACGAGGCUCGGAGCAAAACUACAUUCAUACAAUAUACAAUCUGCUUUUCUUUGUACUCGUUUUCUCUUUUCUUGGUGCUUUUUUUCUUUUCAGAGACUCGUAAUAUUCUUUAUUUUUCACUAGUUCUUCUUCUCUUGUCACUCAUGUAGUCUUUCUGCUUCUGCAUUAGAACUGAGGGAGAGUUUGCUGUUGGAGGCAUAUUUCAUUUUUGGCUGAAUUCCUCCGUUUGUUUGGUCACAAAAAAAUGUGCAGUACGAAAUCCACCGUGAUUAAAAGACGGAGGAGUCGGUGUGAGAGCUGCUGGUUGUCGGAGGAGUUCGAGUCGUGUUCCAACCAGCUACAGAUCGACUCAGAACCAAACAGUCACCAGCUGCAGAGAAAGGGAACGUUUCCUAGUAACCGAGAGGUUUCACAUCCCACAAUGCAGCGGUGCAGAGGAUCUGACCUUCAGGUUGGACUUCAGGUCCGCUCCGCCGCCCAACUCAGCUCAGCGCAGCGAGAAUUCAUUAGUGCCGGAGCUCAUGGAGAAUGUUGCUAGGAAACUGGGAGGUGAUGUCGCUGCGUCUGAUGUGAUGUGGCGCUAAACGCGUAUUUACGUGGCGUUGGUACAGAGGCCGGACCCGCCGCUGAGGGGUC